rnacentral:rRNA from 1 species
CCAGACUCCUACGGGAGGCAGCAGUGGGGAAUUUUCCGCAAUGGGCGAAAGCCUGACGGAGCAAUACCGCGUGAGGGAGGAAGGCUCUUGGGUUGUAAACCUCUUUUCUCAGGGAAGAAAAAAAUGACGGUACCUGAGGAAUAAGCAUCGGCUAACUCCGUGCCAGCAGCCGCGGUAAUACGGAGGAUGCAAGCGUUAUCCGGAAUGAUUGGGCGUAAAGGGUCCGCAGGUGGUAGUGUAAGUCUGCUGUUAAAGAGUCACGCUCAACGUGAUCAAAGCAGUGGAAACUACACAACUAGAGUACGGUAGGGGCAGAAGGAAUUCCUGGUGUAGCGGUGAAAUGCGUAGAUAUCAGGAAGAACACCGGUGGCGAAAGCGUUCUGCUAGACCUGUACUGACACUGAGGGACGAAAGCUAGGGGAGCGAAUGGGAUUAGAUACCCCAGUAGUCCUAGCCGUAAACGAUGGAUACUAGGUGUGGCUUGUAUCGACC